GGCGUGGUCAAAUGUUAACGCUAUCCGCUUUGUAAGCGGAUGAUAAUGGGUUCGAUUCCCAUCUGCUCCA
rnacentral:tRNA from 1 species